CUCUUAUCAAGAGUGGUGGAGGGAUAGUGCCCUGUGAAACCACGGCAACCGUCUUUGGACAAGGUGCCAAUUCACUGAUCAAAAGGUCAAAGAUGAGAA
rnacentral:ncRNA from 1 species